rnacentral:rRNA from 1 species
AUGUUCUUCCUUGCGAUUAAGACCUUGUUCCCCAAAUUAUCUGUGAGUGAGAUUGUUCUAUCGAGGAACUACAACUAUAUCUUAACAUCUAGUAUUAGAAAUCACACAGCACCCUCCACUGAGCCAUGUCAUCUAGGCUCAUCAUCUUUGCCAAGUCCACAACCAGAUCAAAGCCAUGGAACCAUCGUUCAAGGAGUACCUCGAGAAGCUCAACACAUCCCUCGACGAGAUGCACACCAAUCAGUGUUCCAACACAAAUCUCAUCAAGAGUUGGUCCUCCAAGAUCGACGACUUGGUGGCAUGAUGCCUCAAUCUCAAGAAGUGUGUGGCAGACCUCCGCAUGGUGGCGGCCACGCUCCACCAAAGGCGCUUGACGUCGACAACAACUUCAUCAGGUGA